GGGUGAGAAUCCCGUACGUGGUCGCUGGCUAUUGCCGUGUAAAGCCCCUUCGACGAGUCGAGUUGUUUGGGAAUGCAGCUCUAAAUGGGAGGUACAUUUCUUCUAAAGCUAAAUAUUGGCCAGAGACCGAUAGCGCACAAGUAGAGUGAUCGAAAGAUGAAAAGCACUUUGGAAAGAGAGUCAAACAGCACGUGAAAUUGUUGAAAGGGAAGCGCUUGCAGCCAGACUUGCUUACAGUUGCUCAUCCGGGUUUCUACCCGGUGCACUCUUCUGUAGGCAGGCCAGCAUCAGUUUGGGCGGUAGGAUAAAGGUCUCUGUCACGUACCUCCUUUCGGGGAGGCCUUACAGGGGAGACGACAUACUACCAGCCUGGACUGAGGUCCGCGCAUCUGCUAGGAUGCUGGCGUAAUGGCUGUAAGCGGC
rnacentral:rRNA from 1 species